rnacentral:rRNA from 1 species
UACGUAGGGGGCAAGCGUUGUCCGGAAUCACUGGGCGUAAAGCGCGCGUAGGCGGCUUGGCAAGUCGGAUGUGAAAUCCCUCGGCUCAACCAAGGAAGUGCAUCCGAAACUGCUGAGCUUGAGUACUUAAGAGGAUCGCGGAAUUCCCGGUGUAGAGGUGAAAUUCGUAGAUAUCGGGAGGAACACCAGUGGCGAAGGCGGCGAUCUGGGAAGAUACUGACGCUGAGGUGCGAAAGCGUGGGGAGCAAACAGG